rnacentral:rRNA from 1 species
AGAGUUCGAUCCUGGCUCAGAAUGAACGCUGGCGGCGUGCUUAACACAUGCAAGUCGAACGAGAAAGUCUUAGCUUGCUAAGGCGAGUAUAGUGGCGCACGGGUGAGUAACGCGUGGGUGACCUACCCUUGAAUCGGGAAUAACUCAUCGAAAGGUGAGCUAAUACCGGAUAAUAUUUAUAUUGUUUACGCAAUAUAAAUCAAAGAUAGCCUCUGUUUCAAGCUAUCGUUUGAGGAUGGGCUCGCGUACCAUUAGCUUGUUGGUAGGGUAAUGGCCUACCAAGGCGACGAUGGUUAACUGGUCUGAGAGGAUGAUCAGUCACACUGGAACUGAGACACGGUCCAGACUCCUACGGGAGGCAGCAGUGAGGAAUUUUGCGCAAUGGGGGAAACCCUGACGCAGCAACGCCGCGUGAGUGAAGAAGGAUUUCGGUUCGUAAAGCUCUGUCGAGUGGAAAGAAGAUAUAAAAUAUUAAUAGUGUUUUAUAUUGACGGUACCACUAAAGGAAGCACCGGCUAACUCCGUGCCAGCAGCCGCGGUAAUACGGAGGGUGCAAGCGUUAUUCGGAAUCAUUGGGCGUAAAGGGCGCGUAGGCGGCCUGUUAAGUCAGAUGUGAAAGCCCCGGGCUCAACCUGGGAAGUGCAUUUGAAACUAAUAGGCUUGAGUAUAGGAGAGGAAAGCGGAAUUCCUGGUGUAGAGGUGAAAUUCGUAGAUAUCAGGAGGAACACCUGUGGCGAAGGCGGCUUUCUGGACUAAUACUGACGCUGAGGCGCGAAGGCGUGGGGAGCAAACAGGAUUAGAUACCCUGGUAGUCCACGCAGUAAACGGUGAUCACUAAGUGUUGCGGAAGUUAUUCCGCAGUGCCGGAGCUAACGUAUUAAGUGAUCCGCCUGGGAAGUACGAACGCAAGUUUAAAACUCAAAGGAAUUGACGGGGGCCCGCACAAGCGGUGGAGCAUGUGGUUCAAUUCGACGCAACGCGAAGAACCUUACCUGGAUUUGACAUCUCGGGAAUCUUUAUGAAAAUAGAGAGUGCCUCUUUUGAGGAAUCCGAUGACAGGUGCUGCAUGGCUGUCGUCAGCUCGUGUCGUGAGAUGUUCGGUUAAGUCCGGCAACGAGCGCAACCCUUAUCUUUAGUUGCCAGCGCGUAAUGGCGGGAACUCUAAAGAUACUGCCCCGGUUAACGGGGAGGAAGGUGGGGAUGACGUCAAGUCCUCAUGGCCUUUAUAUCCAGGGCUACACACGUGCUACAAUGGAUGGUACAAAGGGUAGCGAGCCCGCAAGGGUUAGCCAAUCCCAAAAAGCCAUUCUCAGUUCGGAUUGGAGUCUGCAACUCGACUCCAUGAAGUUGGAAUCGCUAGUAAUCGUGGAUCAGCAUGCCACGGUGAAUACGUUCCCGGGCCUUGUACACACCGCCCGUCACACCAUGAGAGUUGGUUGUACCAGAAGCCGUCGGGCUAACUAUUUUUAAUAGGAGCAGGCGUCUAAGGUAUGGCUGAUAAUUGGGGUGAAGUCGUAACAAGGUA